rnacentral:rRNA from 1 species
CAAGUCGAGCGGUAAGGCCCUUCGGGGUACACGAGCGGCGAACGGGUGAGUAACACGUGGGUGAUCUGCCCUGCACUUCGGGAUAAGCCUGGGAAACUGGGUCUAAUACCGGAUAUGACCUUCGGCUGCAUGGCUGAGGGUGGAAAGGUUUACUGGUGCAGGAUGGGCCCGCGGCCUAUCAGCUUGUUGGUGGGGUAAUGGCCUACCAAGGCGACGACGGGUAGCCGACCUGAGAGGGUGACCGGCCACACUGGGACUGAGACACGGCCCAGACUCCUACGGGAGGCAGCAGUGGGGAAUAUUGCACAAUGGGCGAAAGCCUGAUGCAGCGACGCCGCGUGAGGGAUGACGGCCUUCGGGUUGUAAACCUCUUUCAGCAGGGACGAAGCGAAAGUGACGGUACCUGCAGAAGAAGCACCGGCUAACUACGUGCCAGCAGCCGCGGUAAUACGUAGGGUGCAAGCGUUGUCCGGAAUUACUGGGCGUAAAGAGUUCGUAGGCGGUUUGUCGCGUCGUUUGUGAAAACUCACAGCUCAACUGUGAGCCUGCAGGCGAUACGGGCAGACUUGAGUACUGCAGGGGAGACUGGAAUUCCUGGUGUAGCGGUGAAAUGCGCAGAUAUCAGGAGGAACACCGGUGGCGAAGGCGGGUCUCUGGGCAGUAACUGACGCUGAGGAACGAAAGCGUGGGUAGCGAACAGGAUUAGAUACCCUGGUAGUCCACGCCGUAAACGGUGGGCGCUAGGUGUGGGUU